AACCUUUAGUCGCUUAAUCAUGUUUGAGCGGGGGAACCAACUUUGGUGGAUAUCUUCCAUCUUGGGGUGAAUCUUACAUAGUAAGAGGGGAUACUCUUUAGUCCCUAAUCCGACAGCUAACCUCGUCAGCGUUUAGAAGAGAAGGG
rnacentral:sRNA from 2 species